ensembl:lncRNA
GAAAAAAGGCGCACCUUCUUCCAAAGACGCGCUUUCUAUAUCAAAUGCGCUCUCGGGUUGAAGACAAUUAUGUUCUAUAAAUCUGAGCUCGGUUGUGAAGCACUAUUAGUCAGAUCAGAUGUCACUCUGAGCAGUGGGCCAGUGAGAGCUGUGGAAUUUGAUACCUCUGCGUCAUCAGCGGUGAAGGGUGGGGGCAGUGAGUGACCCCUUCCAUGUCCGCCGGGGAUGACUGCGGUGGACCCUGGGAUAUGUAGUUUUCGGCUGUUUGUAUACAAAGCUCGCACGCAGAAAAGCUUUCGCAUAUGUGUCUCGGAGAAUACCAAUUUAUAAUAAUCAUAUUACAAGUUAUGGAUGAUCAACGGCGCCAUGGAGAGGAAUGGACGCGCGUCUGGUGAGGCUAUAAGCGUGUUAGUUACUUUUUUUAUCUUUGAAUCUUUAUUUUGAAACGUGAAAGCACAGCUGAUAAACUGUUUAUGACAGAAAAGUACAGUACAUGAUGCAUUUCAGUAAAUAUACAGUAAAUACACAUGGAUUAUUACAGUGCUGUGUGGAUGAACAUAUAUUUGUUUCUUUGACACGCUGAAGGCCAUAUAGCAGCUCGCGACCAAACAGACAGAGAGGAUGCUGAAGAUGCAGAAGUGAUACAGGGAUGCCGAGCUUCCUGGUUGCACACAUCACACCGCUCAUGACGUCUUGUUUCUCCACUUGACUGAUUCCACAUGUGCUCCAGAAUGUGGUCACACAGAGGCAUUCCCAAAGCCUUUGCAGAAAAUGCCCAUUGGACACGUGAUCACUGCUCCUCUGGCUGGGAAUUAACUCUUAAGAAAGACAAAGUGAAAGAGCUUUGCUCACAGAGAGAUUGGCAGCUGUGUGGAAGAUUCCCUCUCCAGGAGGAACACUUCCUACCCACACAAUCAAAGAGCCAAAAUGAACAGCAGAUGACUCUAGAGGAGAUGUUACAAGGCUUACGCUGGCUGUAAAUAAGUCUCUGAGGUUUGGGAUGUGACAUGAUGGGGUUUGGGAAUGGAAAGGACCAUUUGAAUCUUGAUUUACUGGACUGUUGAGGCCUUUGAACUGGUAGAUGUACCACAUGAGUUUACUAGAAAAAUAAAUAAAAAUAAACACAAAUAAACA